rnacentral:rRNA from 1 species
UACGUAGGGUGCGAGCGUUAAUCGGAAUUACUGGGCGUAAAGCGUGCGCAGGCGGUUUGUUAAGUCUGAUGUGAAAGCCCCGGGCUCAACCUGGGAACUGCAUUGGAAACUGGCAAGCUCGAGUAUGGCAGAGGGGGGUGGAAUUCCGGGUGUAGCGGUGGAAUGCGUAGAGAUCCGGAAGAACACCGGUGGCGAAGGCGGCCUGCUGGGCAGUAGCUGACACUGAGGCGCGACAGCGUGGGGAGCAAACAGG